rnacentral:lncRNA from 1 species
GUUCAAGGAGAAAAUAGCCAUUUAUAUCCCCAUGCAUUAAUUGUUCUGUUGUUCUUUCUAAUGACCCCUAUUUCCUCCUAUUGUAACCACUCCAGCCCAAUUGAUGGUUGCAACCAUAUCAAAACACAGCUCCACCAGGAAGAGAUUAUCUCAGUUGACAUUAUUUGAUAAUAAUUUAUGUUCUUUCAUUUUUGAAGAAUAGUUUCUCUGGUUUCUAAGUUAACAGACACUUCUCAUUCUGCAACUCUUAGGAGAAGUUCUGCCUAUAGUUAGUUUCUAGAAUUUUCAUUUUUGUUGUGACAGUUUUGUUGUGCCUGGGUGUGGACGUCUUUGUAAGAAGUCCAUCUGGGAUUAUUGUCUUGUUCUUAAGGCUCUUUGCUCAUCAACUUGGGGAGAUUUCGCCUGUUCUCUCUUCAGCUGGUGUGUGCUCCAUCUCCUCUCUCCUUCUGAGUCCUGGCAAUGUGUCUGUUAGACUCUUGGCACUGGCACACUGAGUUCUGUGUGAUCACUGAUCAUCAUCCCCUGGCACACCAAAGUCCCAGUUGCUGAAGUGGUGUGGCGCUGUGGCCCCUGCUGACUGGUGACACACAGUCUACAUUCUUCCUUGUUCUGAUGCUUGGAGGAGAAUUCUUGGUUUAAGAAUCUCAUUAUUCUGGGAGACAAAACAAUAACUUUCCCCCAUGUAUGGCAGAGGAUGGGGAAGAGAGUGAUUUCUGUAUAACCGGAUGAAACUGGUUACUAUUUAGAACAAUUCCUUGAUUGACACACGGUGUGUUACUCCUGAAAUGUUAUCUGCAUGCAGCUCCUAUCAGGCAAACUGGUUUGAGAAACACAUUCUACAAGAUGAGAACUGAAAUUUACAGGUUGUGGGGAAGAGUUCUGGGGAAGGCGAAAGGAGAAGACAUACAGCCUGUACCUUCUCUACAAAAGAGAGGUAGAAAAAGGCUAUUCUAGGAGCAAAGAUGUCUACCAAUCAAAACAAGUAUAUUCUACUUUAUUGAGUGUCUUGGAUACACUGUAACAUAUGCAUUUAUGAGUCUGCAAUGAGCAUAUCUUACAGAGGAAGAUGACGUUUGGGAAGAGGUGGGAGAUGUUGUCUUAGUCAAAGUUCUAUUGCUAUGAGACACCAUGACCUGGCAACUCUCAUAAAGGAAAACAUUUAAUUAGGGCUGGUUUACAGUUUAGAGGUCUAGUCCAUUGUCAACAUGGCAGGAAGCAUGGUGGCAUGCAGAUAGACAUGGUGCUGGAGAAGGAGCUAAGAGUUCUACAUCGGGAUCAGCAGACAGCAGAUGAGCUACUGGGCCUGGCUUGAGCUUCUGAAACCUCAAAGUCCAACUCCCCAGUGACAUACUUCCUCCAACAAGGCCACA